CUUUAAUAUAGUACAUCAUAAAAUAAUAAAUUAGCCUUCAAGAAUACCUCCACCCAGGAAAAAGUCUACCAGACUAUGCGCACCUGGCAUAGCAAGGGCAAAAGUGCUUCUGUUUUGCUGGGAGAAGGUUUCUUCUCCUGAGGACGAGGAGCAGUUUCAAGAGGAAGGCCAGAGGAUCUUUUGCAAAACCUGCUUGUUAAGAGGGAUACAGUGCAGGGAAAGGUGAAAGUAUGAAGAUAUGAAGAUGAUGUGAAGGUGCCCCUGCAAUCCUAU